GUCCACGCCGUAAACGAUGGAUGCUAGGUGUCGCGGGGUUACCCCGCGGUGCCGGAGCUAACGUAUUAAGCAUCCCGCCUGGGAAGUACGGUCGCAAGAUUAAAACUCAAAGGAAUUGACGGGGCCCGCACAAGCGGUGGAGCAUGUGGUUUAAUUCGAAGCAACGCGAAGAACCUUACCCGGGUUUGACAUCCGCGGAACCCCGGUGAAAGCCGGGGUGCCCUUCGGGGAGCCGCGAGACAGGUGCUGCAUGGCUGUCGU
rnacentral:rRNA from 1 species